rnacentral:rRNA from 1 species
GAUGAACGCUGGCGGCGUGCCUAAUACAUGCAAGUCGAGCGAACGGACGAGAAGCUUGCUUUUCUGAUGUAAGCGGCGGACGGGUGAGUAACACGUGGAUAACCUACCUAUAAGACUGGGAUAACUUCGGGAAACCGGAGCUAAUACCGGAUAAUAUUUUGAACCGCAUGGUUAAAAAGUGAAAGACGGUCUUGCUGUCACUUAUAGAUGGAUCCGCGCUGCAUUAGCUAGUUGGUAAGGUAACGGCUUACCAAGGCAACGAUGCAUAGCCGACCUGAGAGGGUGAUCGGCCACACUGGAACUGAGACACGGUCCAGACUCCUACGGGAGGCAGCAGUAGGGAAUCUGCCGCAAUGGGCGAAAGCCUGACGGAGCAACGCCGCGUGAGUGAUGAAGGUCUUCGGAUCGUAAAACUCUGUUAUUAGGGAAGAACAUAUGUGUAAGUAACUGUGCACAUCUUGACGGUACCUAAUCAGAAAGCCACGGCUAACUACGUG